UGGGAUGUAGCUCAGUUGGUAGAGUGUUUGCCUGGUAUGCAGCAAGCCCUGGGUUUAAUCCCCAGCACAGCAU
rnacentral:tRNA from 1 species